rnacentral:rRNA from 1 species
UACAGAGGUGGCAAGCGUUGUUCGGAAUUACUGGGCGUAAAGGGCGCGUAGGCGGUCCUGUCAGUCUUGUGUGAAAUCCCUCGGCUUAACUGAGGAACUGCACGAGAUACUGCGAGACUUGAGUUCGGGAGAGGAAAGCGGAAUUCCGGGUGUAGCGGUGAAAUGCGUAGAUAUCCGGAGGAACACCGGUGGCGAAGGCGGCUUUCUGGACCGACACUGACGCUGAGGCGCGAAAGCUAGGGGAGCAAACGGG